rnacentral:lncRNA from 1 species
AGUAGAAAACCCCAGGCAGAGCUGAAGACAGUGACAGAAGGGAUUAUUGCUUCUGAAGAAGAAAAAAAAUGAUUACAAAAUCACCUAUUUUACCGUCUUUUACAACUUCGUUGUAGGAGGUGUGAAAGAGGAGGGAAAUUGUGUUGGAAGAGGAGAUUAGGACAUCAAGAGACACCAAGAGUAACCAUGUACAGAGAAAAACAUCAUAUGAAGACACAGCAAGAAGGUGGCCAUCUGUAAGCCAAAGAGAGGCCUCAGAAGAAACCAAAUCUGCUAACACAAUCAUGGACUUUCAGCCUCCAGGACUGUGUGAAAAUAAAUUUCUGCUGUUUAAGCCACCCCAGUGUCUGGAAUUCUAUGGCAGCCCUAGCAAAUAAAUACAACUACUAUCAGUAUUAUUUGUCUUUUUAUAUUACUCUACAGUGUCAAGCCAAAUUUAAUUUUUAAAAUAAUGAUAUCUCAUAUCCACUUAAGCUAAAUAGGGCCCAGGAUUUCAUUCUUGGGUAUAUAUCUAAGAAAAAUGUAUGCUGAUAUUCACUAUAAAUAUAUUCAUACCAGCUUUAUUCAUAAUAGCCCCAAACUGGAAACAACUGAAAUGCCCAUCAUGAAAUAGGAUAAAUAAAUUGUGGUAUGUUCACACAGUGGAAUAUAAUACAGCUCUAAUGGAAAAACAAAAGCUGAUACAUGAAAGAAACAGGAUGAAUCUCAAAAUAGAUUUUUUAAAUUUUUUUAACUUUUGUGGGUAAUAGUUGGUAUGUGCAUUUAUGGGGUACAUGAGAUAUUUUGAUACAGGC